rnacentral:rRNA from 1 species
UACGUAGGGUGCGAGCGUUAAUCGGAAUUACUGGGCGUAAAGCGUGCGUAGGCGGUUCGUUGUGUCUGUGGUGAAAGCCCCGGGCUUAACCUGGGAAUGGCCAUGGAAACUGGCGAGCUGGAGUGUGGCAGAGGGGGGUGGAAUUCCGCGUGUAGCAGUGAAAUGCGUAGAGAUGCGGAGGAACACCAGUGGCGAAGGCGGUUGCCUGGGGCUUUGCUGACGCUGAUGCGCGAAAGCGUGGGGAGCGAUCCGG